GAUGAACGCUAGCGGGAGGCCUAACACAUGCAAGCCGAACGGUAUUGUUUCUUCGGAAAUGAGAGAGCGGCGUACGGGUGCGUAACACGUGUGCAACCUGCCUUUAUCUGGGGGAUAGCCUUUCGAAAGGAAGAUUAAUACUCCAUAAUAUAUUGAACGGCAUCGUUUAAUAUUGAAAGCUCCGGCGGAUAGAGAUGGGCACGCGCAAGAUUAGCUAGUUGGUGAGGUAACGGCUCACCAAGGCGAUGAUCUUUAGGGGGCCUGAGAGGGUGAUCCCCCACACUGGUACUGAGACACGGACCAGACUCCUACGGGAGGCAGCAGUGAGGAAUAUUGGUCAAUGGGUGCAAGCCUGAACCAGCCAUCCCGCGUGAAGGACGACUGCCCUAUGGGUUGUAAACUUCUUUUGUAUAGGGAUAAACCUACCCUCGAGAGGGUAGCUGAAGGUACUAUACGAAUAAGCACCGGCUAACUCCGUG
rnacentral:rRNA from 1 species